GUAACGAAAAUUCUUAAACAAGGGGUUUAUUUAUCGUUUACGUCGAAUUAUUAAACCGUAUAGUCUUAGUUACGUAGUAGUUGUAAAUAUUACCAACGACGUAGCACUAAAGCUUUUAUUUAACGGUUUAGGUCCCAAUUUCAUAAGCGGAACGUUCGAUUAAGACAGCGAAAAUUCUCCGUUACAAGACUAGGUGUGCUGGUGCUGCUGCAUAAUCUCGAGCAUACGGGGACUAGGCUUGGGUAUUUACAUUUAAAGCAUUUUGAAAUAAGUAUUAUUGGUUUUUCUAAGACUUAUAUAUGGUUUGUGGUUUGAAUGAAAGGGGUCAUUGAUGAUUCCCGAGUUGUAUUUAUAUUUUAAUUCCGCUGCAUUUUAGUUUUCAAGUUAAUGUUUUAAGUUAUCGUUAACCUUAUUAUGCCUUGCGUUCCAUCGCGGCGGUAACGCCCCCGAGGUCGACGCGACGCAGCAGUGGUAGGCGCGCGUGGAUUUUGGGGGUGUUACAAAACUGGUAUCAGAGCCGAAGGCUCUGAAUUUCAAAGACGUUUUAAAAA